AUGCCUUACACAUGCAAGUCGAACGGCAGCAUGACGUGUAGCAAUACACGUUGAUGGCGAGUGGCGAACGGGUGAGUAAUAUAUCGGAACAUGCCCUGUAGCGGGGGAUAACGCGUCGAAAGAUGUGCUAAUACCGCAUACGCUCUACGGAGGAAAGCGGGGGCCGCAAGGCCUCGCACUAUAGGAGUGGCCGAUAUCGGAUUAGCUUGUUGGCGGGGUAACGGACCACCAAGGCGACGAUCCGUAGCUGGUCUGAGAGGAUGAUCAGCCACACUGGAACUGAGACACGGUCCAG
rnacentral:rRNA from 1 species